rnacentral:rRNA from 1 species
UACGGGGGGGGGGCAAGCUUGCUCGGAAUCACUGGGCGUAAAGCGCACGUAGGCGGAUUGCUAAGUCAGGGGUGAAAUCCUGGAGCUCAACUCCAGAACUGCCUUUGAUACUGGCGAUCCCGAGUCCGGGAGAGGUGAGUGGAACUGCGAGUGUAGAGGUGAAAAUUCGUAGAUAUUCGCAAGAACACCAGUGGCGAAGGCGGCUCACUGGCCCGGUACUGACGCUGAGGUGCGAAAGCGUGGGGAGCAAACAGGAUUAAGAAACCUGAGUACGUACCAGC